UCCUUGUUUUUCUUUCCCUUUUAUCUUCAAGUUUCCCUAAGAACUCCUUCUUAAAUAGCAUCCAUGUCUUGUAGCUCUCUCAGUUGUAAUCCACUAUUAUACUGGAGCCCUGUUGAUGUGGUGGUAGGUGUGAGGAUGGGGAUAUGUUCUAUAAUCAUAUGGUUAAAUCUUACUCUUUUAGUGAGCCUAUGUUCUAGCUGUGAGAUGGGAAAGAUAGAGAGAGGGCUAGAGUAAUUUCCUUUUCUCCAUGUCUGUUAAAACUCUGGUAAAGUUCUUCCCCUUCCAAGAUGUUCUAUGUUGGUGAGAAUGCUCUGGGUGUAUAUCACAAUUAUUAUUUUGUCAUUCGUCUUGGCUUUCCUAGCUUUUCACCAUUGAACUCGUUCAUCUUUGAAUCUCUAUUACCUAAUACAGCCAAUACAGCCUAAUGUAUACAUCUGUAGUACAAAUAAAUAUGUGAAUAAAGGGUAGGUCUAGAAAGAUAGUUUAGCAUAAAAGUAGAGAGUAUUUCCACCUCAACACUGGUGACUUCAUUCAAAAUGCAGGGCAAUUUAAAAUUUACAUCCAUUAAACAGAAGGCUGGACCUUCUUCUGGUCUGCUUCCAGUGGCUCUGCUUCCACUCCUUCCUGCUCACAGUGUUCUGCUGUAUCCCCUCUUUUUGGUCAGUAGUUUCUAGUCCUAGUGACCUUGAAUCUCUCUCUUUCCAUCCUAAUCUUGGGUCCUUUCCAUUUCUGCAUCACUGGCCAAAUUAAUAUCUAAUUCCCUAUUAAUUCUUAUUCUCCAUCUCAUUGAAGUUUCUUUUUAAAUAUUUUAAAAUGUAUUUAAUUAUACAGUAGAAAAUUUACAUACCUCCAUGCAUGUUACAUCUACUUAGGUCAUUUAUAAUGAAGGCUAAAACAACUUGGGAAAGCCACACAAUGCCCUGUGGAAUUCUCAUAAAUUAAAGUAGCUAAAACUGAAGUACUAAAAUCCUACCAGUUCAUAAAAUGUUUUCAGUUCUCCUAGCCUGGGGGAAGGAGAAAGGUAAAUUAAAUUAAAUUAAGUUAGAGUUACACUUCUUACUUUCUCUUGAGAAAGUGGCAGAAAAGACAUUUCGGCAAAGCUGACUAGAAGAACGAUGCUAAGCUUUAGUAAAUUCUUCUGUUUAUUUGAAUGACUGCAUACCAGGUGACUUCUCUCGUAAUCUCUGUUAGAACAAGACAGGACUGCAUAAUAAAGCUCCCACGUGCUGCUAUGGGCUCUAGUAAUUGAGUCACAACUAAAGGAAAACGACACUUACCAGAAUGCAGUUGUUUUAGACAACAGACAAUGAGACAUCCAGGUGUUGAGUCACUAAGAAAAAUGAACACAUACACAAACACAACAAAACCCAAAGCUAUUUACAUUUUUUAAUGUUAUCUUUAUGUUUUAAAAAGUUGAUUUUUUUUCUUCUACAGUUUUACAUUGCAUUAUUAGUGUACAGUUGCAAACUUGUAUUUUGUUGGGUUUGGCAUUGAUGAAAUGAUUCUAUCCAUCAUUUAAUUCUAUUUGUCCCUAGAGUAUAAUAUGAGACCACUGAAGGUCAUUAAUAUGACAUAAUGUAAUAAGAUUAAAGGGACACCAGUCUCACACAGUGGAUGGCUGCUUAAAAGAAAACCUGAGGAGACAGCGUGCCCUCCCUCAUUGUCGCACCCAAAGACCAUCUUCCUGACUAUACUGGCAUUAUUAAUAUUCUAUUUCUUUUCAUUAAGCAGUGACACGGUGUGAAAAUUCAUUUGGGAAGAGUUGCAACUGAUCCACAUUGUCAUCCUGCUCCAGUUCUUACAAUCUUUGACCCUCAUGGAUUCAUGGUGGGAAAUGAAAGUAUCAAGAAGAAUCUAGAAGUCCCUGUUCUUUCGCUCAACAGUGGCUCAGGCAUGAGGAAAGAUGUCUCUGCUAAAGAUGAUUAUCAGUGUGUCUGGUUGUCUUCUGUUACUGCAUAAAACAACAGGAUGUCAUGCAAUGCUAGGUGCUGUGGGAGACACAAACGUCUGCAGGCUGUGGAAGGUGAGACUGGGCAGAGCUGAUGGUCACUGUGAAGAUAUUCACAUAAUCCCCUCCAGAGAAUAUGUUCUGAACCUGCCAAAUGCUCCCAUACUCUCAAAGACACAGAGAAGGCUGACUUCAGGGAAAUGAAGAGGCUAUAAUUUGGCUAAUAAA